ACAGUCGUGGUUCAUGAAUGAACCCGUUUUCACAGCGAAACCUCGAUGAACGAACGAGGGGGCCGGAUGCCGAGGAACGGGCGGGAAUGCGGCUCUAAGGGGUUAAUUGCGCGAAUUACGUGAAUUGCGCGAGCAUGUCUCGACAAGGUGCAUCUUAAUCGGAUGAAAUUAUCGGACUGGUAUCGUGCUUCACCGUGGAAUGGAUAGUGGAGGGAGAACAGGGAGCUUAUGAUCUAACGCGGGACGUUCUUCCCAGGCCCCCGAUGGUGGCCAAAAUUCCUCUUUUUUUCAUCCAGCUCGGCGACGAGGCCGUAUUAGGAAACCUGCAGUCAUUGUGCGCGCCAACCUCGACGACGACGCCGACGACGACGCCUUCCCUCUUCCAACAAUUCAACGCGUCAAAUUUUCUUAUCUCUCUUCUUCCUUUCUGAACUAAACGUGGUGGAAUUCGCGAGAGGAGGAUGAGAAUUAAAUCAUAUCGUAAAAAACGUUCAAUUAGAAAUCGAGGAUAUGAUAACAUUUACGUUCUGGAAAAAAAAGUACGAAAAGAACAGUUAGUUGAUUGUUUCUAAUACAUCAAACGAAAGAUAUUCGAAGAUUUUGAAUAAACUCGAUUCAAAAAAAUAAAACGCAUAUAACACAUAAAAUAUUAAAAAUUAUAAAGAUAAUAAAGGAUGUAAAAAAUUCUAUGUAAGUAAUAUUAAGUGACAUAAAUGUUGCACUUAAAAAAAUAUUUGAAUAAUUAAAAUAAUUAAAAAAACUUCAAAAUUA